CUCCAACCUUGUUCUCUGCAAACCUUUCAACACCAUCCCUUCAACGUUAAACCCUCUUAAUUUCUUGAAUUUUCAUAUCUUUUAUUUCCUCCAUUAACUUUUGGAAAUGAACUCCAUGAGGAUAAUGGCUAUCAACCUCCCAAUUAUUGGUUGUUUGUUACUUGCACUUGUUCAGUUUGGCUUUGGUCAGGCCAUUCCUCCUUCUCCUGCCGCCCCUGCUCCUUCCAAUGACGGUGUAGCGAUUGAUCAAGGGAUUGCAUAUGCUCUUCUGCUUGUUGCGCUCGUCAUUACAUAUUUAGUCCAUUAAUUAGUAAUUGUAGCAUAUUUUAUUUGGCUAUGGUUACGUUGUAAUAUAAAUAGAUAAUCAAUUCAUUAUUGUCUUAUUCUUUAAUUAUUAAUCAUAUUUUUUGUUUAUUUAUUUA